rnacentral:rRNA from 1 species
CACGUAGGGUGCGAGCGUUGUCCGGAAUUAUUGGGCGUAAAGAGCUCGUAGGCGGUGUGUCGCGUCGGCCGUGAAAACCUGCAGCUUAACUGUGGGCUUGCGGUCGAUACGGGCAUCACUGGAGUUCGGCAGGGGAGACUGGAAUUCCUGGUGUAGCGGUGAAAUGCGUAGAUAUCUGGAGGAACACCGGUGGCGAAGGCGGCAUCCUGGACCGGCAUUGACGCUGAACAGCGAAAGCCAGGGGAGCAAACGGG